rnacentral:rRNA from 1 species
UGCGUAGGCGGUUUAUUAAGUCAGAUGUAAAAGCCCCGGGCUUAACCUGGGAACUGCAUUUGAUACUGGUAGACUAGAGUAUGGUAGAGGGGGGUAGAAUUCCUAGUGUAGCGGUGAAAUGCGUAGAUAUUAGGAGGAAUACCAGUGGCGAAGGCGGCCCCCUGGACCAAUACUGACGCUGAGGUACGAAAGCGUGGGUAGCGAACA